rnacentral:rRNA from 1 species
AUGACCGCGGAUCAGGUGAGGAUACCCGCUGAAUUUAAGCAUAUUAAUAAGCGGAGGAAAAGAAACCAACAGGGAUUGCCUCAAGUAGCCGGCGAAGUGAAGCGGCAACAGCUCA